GUCUACGGCCAUACCACAUUGAAUGUGCCCAAUCUUGUCUGAUCUCAGAAGCUGAGUAGUGUUGGGUCUGGUUAGUAUUUGGAUGGGAGACUGGUAUUUAGUUUAUUAGAAAUUUAAACU
rnacentral:rRNA from 1 species